GACGAACGCUGGCGGCGUGCUUAACACAUGCAAGUCGAACGGAAAGGCCCUGCUUUUGUGGUGUGCUCGAGUGGCGAACGGGUGAGUAACACGUGAGUAACCUGCCCUUGACUUUGGGAUAACUUCAGGAAACUGGGGCUAAUACCGGAUAGGAGCUCCUGCUGCAUGGUGGGGUUGGAAAGUUUCGGCGGUUGGGGAUGGACUCGCGGCUUAUCAGCUUGUUUGUGGGGUAGUGGCUUACCAAGGCUGUGACGGGUAGCCGGCAUGAGAGGGUGGCCGGCCACAUUGGGACUGAGAUACGGCCCAGACUCGUACGGGAGGCAGCAGUGGGGAAUAUUGCACAAUGGGCGCAAGCCUGAUGCAGCAACGCCGCGUGCGGGAUGACGGCCUUCGGGUUGUAAACCGCUUUCGCCUGUGACGAAGCGUGAGUGACGGUAAUGGGUAAAGAAGCACCGGCUAACUACGUG
rnacentral:rRNA from 1 species